UACGUAGGGUCCGAGCGUUGUCCGGAAUUACUGGGCGUAAAGCGUGCGCAGGCGGUUUUGUAAGCCAGAUGUGAAAUCCCCGGGCUUAACCUGGGAAUGGCAUUUGGGACUGCAAGGCUUGAGUAUGGCAGAGGGGGCUAGAAUUCCUGGUGUAGCAGUGAAAUGCGUAGAUAUCAGGAGGAAUACCGAUGGCGAAGGCAGGCCCCUGGGUUAAUACUGACGCUCAUGCACGAAAGCGUGGGGAGCAAACAGG
rnacentral:rRNA from 1 species